GGUCAUAAUAUUGCAUCACAGUUACAUAAUUACGAUCACAGCAAUGUUUUUUUGUCAUUAAGGUUUAUGACAUUCCCUAAUUAACGAGACAAUGACAUUUCACUGACAUAAUACAUUGAGCUUGUCUUGCAGAAUAAAGGGACGUAGACCUCCUCUUCACCAUUUAUCCUUAUCUAGGGCUCAGAAAUAGCUUUUUAAAGGGUCACCACCAGCCAGGCAGGCACCUUCCUGGGGCAGAACCACCUGGAAAUCCAAUGCUUACAGACAAACUUGGAAAUGGCACUUUUCCACCAAGACCGUACCAUCUUCAUGGACAAAAGAGACAACAGGGCCCCAGACAGAGAUGAAGGUUGAAAGGGUCCCAAGACUGAAGAGGCUAUGGACAGGGUGAGAGGAAAACAACAAGCAGCAGCAGGGAAGCAGUGCUGGAAACCCCUUGAAAUGGCGAGGGAAGAAAACCCACUGACACCACUGUGGGAAGGCUGGUUGUGUAAAGAAGCGGUGCUGGGGUAGGGAGGAGCUGCCCUGCUUAGG